rnacentral:rRNA from 1 species
UACGUAGGGGGCAAGCGUUAAUCGGAAUUACUGGGCGUAAAGCGUGCGUAGACGGUUACAUAAGUCGGGUGUGAAAGCCCCGGGCUCAACCUGGGAAUUGCAUUCGAGACUGCGUAGCUAGGGUGCGGAAGAGGGAAGCGGAAUUUCCGGUGUAGCGGUGAAAUGCGUAGAUAUCGGAAGGAACACCAGUGGCGAAAGCGGCUUCCUGGUCCAGCACCGACGUCAGGCACGAAAGCGUGGGGAGCAAACAGG